AACGAACGCUGGCGGCAUGCCUAACACAUGCGAGUCGAACGAGACCUUCGGGUCUAGUGGCGCACGGGUGCGUAACGCGUGGGAACCUGCCCUUAGGUUCGGAAUAACUCCCCGAAAGGGGUGCUAAUACCGGAUAAUGUCUUCGGACCAAAGAUUUAUCGCCUUUGGAUGGGCCCGCGUUGGAUUAGCUAGUUGGUAGGGUAAAAGCCUACCAAGGCGACGAUCCAUAGCUGGUCUGAGAGGAUGAUCAGCCACACUGGGACUGAGACACGGCCCAGACUCCUACGGGAGGCAGCAGUGGGGAAUAUUGGACAAGGGGCGAAAGCCUGAUCCAGCAAUGCCGCGUGAGUGAUGAAGGCCGUAGGGUUGUAAAGCUCUUUUACCCGGGAUGAUAAUGACAGUACCGGGAGAAUAAGCUCCGGCUAACUCCGUG
rnacentral:rRNA from 1 species